CGCAGUGUGUGUUGACCUUACUGUUCUCGCCAAAUAUGCUCAGCUGAGUCAUAUUAACAGCAUCACCCUGGCUCACUUUGCAUACAUGGACACAAUCGGAGCCAUGGCUUCUUGCUUUGAGUUGGAGCCAGCAGCAGGAGUCACUGCCAGAGACUGAAACCCAUGCUCCAUGAGUGCAGUGCAGAAAAAUGGCUGAUUGAAUCAACUGGGAGGCUUUUUGUGGCAGCCACCCUUGCGGCCUCAUGAAAGAUGUGGAAGGACCAAACCUUCAGGGUCACGUUUUUCUACUGCCUAAGGCUAAAGAAAAGAACAUGUUUCUGCAUCAGUGGUGGUUCUGGAGAAGAGAGGAUAUGGGCAACAUCUCUCGGUUUCUUCUGCCCCAUGUCUUAAGAAAUUUGCCGUGAUAACUGGACAACCUGUCUCCUCAA